AUGUCCCAUCCCCUGUAUAAUCCCUAUGCUCCUGGGAACCAAGGUUCCACCAUGGGACCGUAUGGACUCUCCAGUAUACAGGCAGAGAGGGACCCUCGGAGGGCAUCUUCUCACCUUGGACCUGGGUCCGGCUUCAGCUCUACUGGAGCUUCUUCUGCGACUCCUACCAACUCUGGGGGAAUGAUACCGUCGCUGCUACCGUCGAUGCUACCGUCGCUGAUGCCUCAAGCAAUGGGCUUCAGGCCUGAACAGACUAGAGCCAUAGAUGAGAACAUGGAGAGGUCCAUAGACAUGCAUAUUAGCAGAGCCAGAGAGGAGGUGAGGCUUCUUGGCAAACCAAUGCAUCAACCUAUAGACCAGGGCACUCACUUUCCCAGCACUCAAAGGGAUGAGUUUAUUUCCUCAGGCAGAGGGAUGGGCUCAUACCCAAUGUCCUCAACCUCUGCCCCUCUAGGACAUAGACACUCGGGCGUUGAAAGUGGUAGUAGUUCCUUGGACUGGUCGUCUAACUACAAAAGGCCUGCUGCUGAUGACUACUCUAAAUUUUAUUCAUCAUCUACUUCGUCUAACUAUGCAGGCGGUGAUAACGGUAGGUUUAAUGCCUCCAGUGAAAGGGAACAUGAUAUACCGUCGAUUCCAGGGUUGGGUGAUUUUGACUAUCCAAUGUCAGACCAAUCUCCCAAGUACACCUCUGAAUCAGCUUCCAACAUCCUUGUGCACUUUGGACUUGAAAAAGAGGACUUAGAACAUCUCAUCUCCUACCCUGAAGACCAGAUCACCCCUUCUAACCUGCCGUUCAUCUUGCGGCAAAUCCGCAUUGAGAAGACCAAGAGAGGUACAACUGCAGCUCAGUCAAAACCCCAACCCCCCAGAACUGUGGACAGUAACAGUUUGAGUAGUUCUGGAGGGCCAAGAAUGCGGCAAGAGGAAAUGUCAGGGGCUGUUCACCAGCAAGGUAAAGUGAUUGACUAUGGACAUACCGGCAAAUAUACUGGAGGGACUGGGGAUGAGCUUGGAAGAAACGGUGGCAGUAGGUCUAACAGCGGUGGUAGUGGAAGUAUGUUGCCAAUGGACACUUACGAUAGUAGCAAACUCAACAAAAAUACAACAGAGGUGAAGAGCAGUGCCUUGGGUUCUUCACGUGACCAGACGACUUCUGUUUCCAGCCUCAGCUCUUCGUACAGUUCAAUACUGAACUCUGUGGCGCCCCCAAGUAAUGAGCAGACUAAACGAUUGCAGACCCUACCAAACCAGACUUCCCAAACAAUUCUCAGCUCUUUCUCUCUGCCGAAGAAAGACACAGACUUCAGAAUUCUCAAGGCUGAAGCGCAUAAACCAAUUGCUUUGCAAGAACCACAGGCAGGUCGCCAGACGACGACAAAAACCCAACCACCCUCCACUCAGUACCAUGGUAUGCAUCCCACCCGACCUGGCCUUGUGCUCAUUGGCAGUAAUAAAGCCGGUGGCACUAAGGAUCACAGUAUAACUCGAGGACCAGGGUCAUCAUUUGCUGAGCAGAUGAAAAAUCAGCAGUCGCAGCAGCUGCCAGUUCAGCAGAUGCAGCAUCAGCCGCAGCAGCCGGUAACCCAGAUGGGGCAAGCAAUGUGGCCUCCAGUUUUUUCUGCUGCAAAAUCAGUCCCGCCUGCUUCUCACAUCCCCAGCAUCACUAGUGUCAGGCAACUUCCGGCUGGUCCUCGCCCCAUCGUUCUUCCUCCAGAUUUACUUCAGCCAAUCCCAGGCCUGAUGACCCUCAAUCACCUGAGGCAUCCACCUUCCAUCCCGCAGCCGCCGGCAGUCUUCAAGAGUCUGCCAACUGCGGCCAUGAUGCAUGACUAUGCAGCCGCCUCGCCAAGAAUCUUUCCACAUACCUGUUGUCUGUGUAACAGAGUCUGUACCCUUAUGAAGGUGAGUGGAAGUCUGCACUCUGUUCACAUUCCCCUAUGGAAGUUAUGGGUUGUAUACUUCAAUAUCCGAAAUGUUUGUGUUUCUGAUGUUAAAAUACCAAUUUAA
ensembl:lncRNA